rnacentral:rRNA from 1 species
GACGGAGGAUGCAAGCGUUAUCCGGAAUUAUUGGGCGUAAAGCGUCCGCAGGUGGCUGUUCAGGUCUGCUGUCAAAGCGCAGAGCUUAACUCUGUACAGGCGGUGGAAACUGAAGAGCUAGAGUAUGGUAGGGGUAGAGGGAAUUCCCGGUGUAGCGGUGAAAUGCGUAGAUAUCGGGAAGAACACCAGUGGCGAAAGCGCUCUACUGGGCCAUAACUGACACUCAGGGACGAAAGCUAGGGGAGCGAAUGGG